rnacentral:rRNA from 1 species
UACGUAGGGGGCAAGCGUUGUCCGGAAUCAUUGGGCGUAAAGCGCGUGUAGGCGGCUCGGUAAGUCCGCUCUGAAAGUCCAGGGCUCAACCCUGGGAUGCGGGUGGAUACUGCCGGGCUCGAGUCCGGAAGAGGCGAGUGGAAUUCCCGGUGUAGCGGUGAAAUGCGCAGAUAUCGGGAGGAGCACCAAUGGCGAAGGCAGCUCGCUGGGACGUGACUGACGCUGAGACGCGAAAGCGUGGGGAGCAAACAGG